AACCCUUCGGGCUUGGGCGCGCAAAAAGGAGGUGUGACAAUACUUGGUGUGAAUUUUAGAAUCCCGUGAACCAUCGAGUCUUUGAACACAAGUUGCGCCCAAAGCCAUUAGGCCGGGGGCACAUCUUCCUAGGCAUCA
rnacentral:rRNA from 1 species